UCAUAUAUUCUCGCUUGCUUGGCAUUGAGCUCCAUACAAGCUUUAAUUCUGAGUAACCUCUAUUUACUGCGGCGAGUGAAAGGACGAGAGGUGCCCGCUAAUUACAGAGCGUCUAACUUUUGGAGGUUCUUCGCUGGAUUGCAGCCCACAGUUGCUAUAUAAACCCUCUGGACUUGUUUAUUUGGUGUGUUGCUUGUCCACAAGCCAAGUGCCCUUGAACUAGAGAGGGGGAUGAGUCACAAGCUGAGAAUUGGAAGAUCCUUCUGCCAAAAGGCAUUCAGUCACAGCUGCUCGAGACUCUUCUUGGUGGUGCAACUUUAAUUGCAGUGAGAAAACCACUGCUUCUGACCUCUCCGUGCUCCCAUCCUUUACCUUAAUUUCUUAUGGUUGCUGGAAUCCGGUGAGGAUUUGGGUUGCAAUAAACUAUUGCAUUAGGAGGAGGUAUUGACGUGCCUCAAUCUGAUGGCACGGCUAUAGAGUUUAUAGCUCUGUGAUCGGAUUGAGCCGCGUCAAUAUCUCCUGCUGCACGAUCUGUUAGCUGCAUCUUCCCCAGCCCUUCAGGUAAAACCGUUCCUCUCUCCCCCUCCCCCCCCCCUCUCCUCCUCUCUCUCUCUCUCUCUCUUGUUUGCUGUGAUAACUCACCAAAUUUUAAUGUCUUUCAUCUGCGAUUAUUUUGAAAUCUCUUUGCUCUUUCUUCCCAUGUCGUGAUUGACGCUUGUUAAUAGCUUGGUUUCAAUCGAAAAGUAUAGCAGACGGACAAUUUCUUCUAUCUUGCUCCGGCCGCCGGAUCAUGGUCACGAGCACGAUCAUCAUCAUGCAAUUGUGGCUGAGAUCGAUCCACAACAUGACAACUCCUUUGAUUUAACGGAAGGUAUCGCCAUGAAAUCAAACCAUUUUGAAUCGGACCAAUUUUACUUUUUUCUCGAUGAGGGCCAACUGAAGACGUCAAUUUCAACUGCUUUUGUUGGAGUGUAAUAAAAAAAGAUUCGGAGAAUCGAUUCAGGAUAACAUCGGUCUCGUUCAGUCUGAUUUUACCUAUUCAAUUCAAAGAAACUGUUGAGUCAAGGAGCUCCUGUACUGCCUCCUCCACCACAUCAAUCAUGUGCUUUCUGCUCGGACGAUUCUGGAGAUUGAAGCUGAUCGAUUCCUGCAACAGUGGUCCAUACCUUUCGAUCGAGCCUGCCAGCUACAUGUUCUUGUUUUGUAGAUUUAAUUUUACUUGGUAACAAGAAGAAAUACAUCACAAAAUAUGGAUCUCUGCUAACUGUUUUGUUAUCUGUCAUGCAUAAUUCGUGAUAGAAUUUAUUCUCUUUUGUGUUGGAAGUUUGUAACUUUAAUGGGUAGCUAGCAGUGAAACGAGCACAUAGAAAUAAGGGGGUUGAGCGAUAAUGGCUCCCCAUUUUUA